rnacentral:rRNA from 1 species
CGCUGGCGGCGCGCCUAACACAUGCAAGUCGAACGGAGCUUAGAGAGCUUGCUUUUAAGCUUAGUGGCGAACGGGUGAGUAACGCGUGAGUAACCUGCCUUAUACAGGGGGAUAACAGUUGGAAACGACUGCUAAUACCGCAUAAGCGCACGGUAUCGCAUGAUACAGUGUGAAAAACUCCGGUGGUAUAAGAUGGACCCGCGUCUGAUUAGCUUGUGGUGAGGUAACGGCCCACCAAGGCGACGAUCAGUAGCCGGCCUGAGAGGGUGAACGGCCACAUUGGGACUGAGACACGGCCCAAACUCCUACGGGAGGCAGCAGUGGGGAAUAUUGCACAAUGGGGGAAACCCUGAUGCAGCGACGCCGCGUGAGUGAUGAAGUAUUUCGGUAUGUAAAACUCUAUCAGCAGGGAAGAUAAUGACGGUACCUGACUAAGAAGCACCGGCUAAAUACGUG